CAUGUACUCCCUCCGUUCCGAAUUACUUGUCGCACGUAUGGAUGUAUCUAGAUGUAUUUUAGUUCUAGAUACAUCCAUUUCAACGACGAGUAAUUUGGAACGGAGGGAGUAAGCA
rnacentral:pre_miRNA from 1 species